CACGUAGGGCGCAAGCGUUGUCCGGAAUUAUUGGGCGUAAAGAGCUCGUAGGCGGUCUGUUGCGUCCGCUGUGAAAACCCAGGGCUUAACCCUGGGCUAGCAGUGGAUACGGACAGACUAGAGGUAGGUAGGGGAGAAUGGAAUUCCCGGUGUAGCGGUGAAAUGCGCAGAUAUCGGGAGGAACACCGGUGGCGAAGGCGG
rnacentral:rRNA from 1 species